rnacentral:misc_RNA from 1 species
UCCCGCUUGUCACGGGCAGUUUCCUUAGAGUUCCCGGCAUAACCCGUUGGCAACUAAGGAUGAGGGUUGCGCUCGUUGCGGGACUUAACCCAACAUCUCACGACACGAGCUGACGACAGCCAUGCAACACUUGUCUCCUAUCCGGCCGAACCGAAGCCCUUCCAUUACAAAGGGCGCGAUAGGGAUGUCAAAAGGUGGUAAGGUUUUUCGCGUAGCAUCGAAUUAAACCACAUGCUCCACCGCUUGUGCGGGUCCCCGUCAAUUUCUUUGAGUUUUAAUCUUGCGACCGUACUCCCCAGGCGGAGUGCUUAACGUGUUAACUGUGCCACCGGAUCUAAAAUCCGACAGCUAGCACUCAUCGUUUACGGCGUGGACUAC